rnacentral:rRNA from 1 species
CCUACGGGUGGCUGCAGUGGGGAAUAUUGGACAAUGGGCGAAAGCCUGAUCCAGCCAUGCCGCGUGUGUGAAGAAGGCCUUCGGGUUGUAAAGCACUUUCAGUGGGGAAGAAAGCCUUGGGGCUAAUACCCUCGAGGAAGGACAUCACCCACAGAAGAAGCACCGGCUAACUCCGUGCCAGCAGCCGCGGUAAUACGGAGGGUGCGAGCGUUAAUCGGAAUUACUGGGCGUAAAGCGCGCGUAGGCGGUCUGAUAAGCCGGUUGUGAAAGCCCCGGGCUCAACCUGGGAACGGCAUCCGGAACUGUCAGGCUAGAGUGCAGGAGAGGAAGGUAGAAUUCCCGGUGUAGCGGUGAAAUGCGUAGAGAUCGGGAGGAAUACCAGUGGCGAAGGCGGCCUUCUGGACUGACACUGACGCUGAGGUGCGAAAGCGUGGGUAGCAAACAGGAUUAGAUACCCGUUAGUC